rnacentral:rRNA from 1 species
AUUGAACGCUGGCGGCAGGCCUAACACAUGCAAGUCGAGCGGAUGAAGGGAGCUUGCUCCUGGAUUCAGCGGCGGACGGGUGAGUAAUGCCUAGGAAUCUGCCUGGUAGUGGGGGAUAACGUCCGGAAACGGGCGCUAAUACCGCAUACGUCCUGAGGGAGAAAGUGGGGGAUCUUCGGACCUCACGCUAUCAGAUGAGCCUAGGUCGGAUUAGCUAGUUGGUGGGGUAAAGGCCUACCAAGGCGACGAUCCGUAACUGGUCUGAGAGGAUGAUCAGUCACACUGGAACUGAGACACGGUCCUGACUCCUACGGGAGGCAGCAGUGGGGAAUAUUGGACAAUGGGCGAAAGCCUGAUCCAGCCAUGCCGCGUGUGUGAAGAAGGUCUUCGGAUUGUAAAGCACUUUAAGUUGGGAGGAAGGGCAGUAAGUUAAUACCUUGCUGUUUUGACGGUACCAACAGAAUAAGCACCGGCUAACUUCGUG